rnacentral:tRNA from 1 species
UCCCCUGUAGCUCAACGGUAGAGCGCCUCUCUGUUAAAGAGGAUGUUGCUGGUUCGAAUCCAGCCGGGGGAGCAA